rnacentral:rRNA from 1 species
AGAUUGAACGCUGGCGGCAGGCCUAACACAUGCAAGUCGAGCGGCAGCACGGGUACUUGUACCUGGUGGCGAGCGGCGGACGGGUGAGUAAUGCCUAGGAAUCUGCCUGAUAGUGGGGGAUAACGUUCGGAAACGGACGCUAAUACCGCAUACGUCCUACGGGAGAAAGUGGGGGAUCUUCGGACCUCACGCUAUCAGAUGAGCCUAGGUCGGAUUAGCUAGUUGGUAGGGUAAAGGCCUACCAAGGCUACGAUCCGUAACUGGUCUGAGAGGAUGAUCAGUCACACUGGAACUGAGACACGGUCCAGACUCCUACGGGAGCAGCAGUGGGGAAUAUUGGACAAUGGGCGAAAGCCUGAUCCAGCCAUGCCGCGUGUGUGAAGAAGGUCUUCGGAUUGUAAAGCAACUUUAAGUUGGAGGAAGGGCAUUAACCUAAUACGUUAGUGUUUUGACGUUACCGACAGAAUAAGCACCGGCUAACUCUGUGCCAGCAGCCGUACGG